GACGAACGCUGGCGGCGUGCUUAACACAUGCAAGUCGAGCGGAGCGGCGAACGGGUGAGUAACGCGUGAGUAACUGCCCCCCUCUCUGGGAUAACAGUUGGAAACGGCUGCUAAUACCGGAUAGUGGGGGAUGACUCGGGUCCUAUCAGCUUGUUGGUGGGGUAGUGGCCUACCAAGGCGACGACGGGUAGCCGGCCUGAGAGGGGGACCGGCCAAAUUGGGCUGCUCUACGGCCCAAACUCCGACAGGAGGCAGCAGGGGGGCAUGUUGCCGAUUAGGUGAAACUGUCAUGAAGCAACGCCUCGUGCGGGAUGACGGCCUUUGGGUUGUAAACCGCUUUAAGCCAUGACGCGGUAGUGGCAGAAGAAGCACCGGCUAACUACGUGCCAGUCGCCGCGGUAAUAC
rnacentral:rRNA from 1 species